GCGCAGUAUAUAAACAGCUGGAAUACUGGUCUUUAGGUGGAAAUAGAAUAAACGGAGUGCAUAAGUUACAGAAAUAAUAAGAUUACAUACUAUAUGUAUGCAUAUACAGACUGAGGUCGGGCUCGGCGGUCUGGACGCCCUGGGCCAACUAAGGAGCCGGGGCCAACAAAAAUAAAACCGCUCUUUUGUGGAGGACCCGGGGCGAUAGCCAGCCUGUGCCCACAUCAUGCACUGAUACCGGAUAGUAGUUUUCUUUAAAUUUAUUUCGAUGAAGCCCAUUUAAUGUACUGAAAGAAUGCAACAUGUGUACGCCAUAAGGAGGCGGAAAAGUCAAGCAAAAUAUAUAUGUAUUGUGCAACUCCGUCAAACUUCUUUGGAUUGUUGAUCCUUAAAAGUAAUUAUGUAAUGAGUACGAAAACGUGGUAUUUUUUAA